CUCUGUUCGCUACAUAUAGUAUCUCUGCCGAACCACCCAAAGCCUCUGUUUGCCACAAGAUCUUUUAAAGCCCUAAAAUCCUUCCUAGAUCUGAGAACCACUUCUGAUCGGACUCCAGAUGCUUCACGAUCAUCCGAUCAGCAUCACAAGUCUCCUGAGCUGCUCGAUCAUGCUCGAUCAAGCUCCAUCAAACCCAGAUCAUGCUCGCAAGCCAUCUGCACCAUCCGAUCGCAUGCCAGAUUGGAUCUCAACCAUCCGUUAUGCUCAGUC
rnacentral:lncRNA from 1 species